GUCAUUGAAGUCAAAUCUGCGUAGUUUAGGCCAUAAACUAGAUUAUAAGUAGAGUUUAGUCCAGAAAAUGCUUUGGGGCCAAUGUUCAUUCUAUUUUUUCACAUAGAUGUUGGGGAACAUUGCAUGCGAAACAAAAAAAUCCUACUCACACGCAAUACCUAUCCAUGGUGAUGACCAUCUACGAGAGGGAGAGUGAAUCUACAUACCCUUGUAGAUCGCUAAGCGAAAGCGUAUAUAACGUGGUUGAUGUAGUGGAACAUCUUCGCGAUCCAAAUCGCAGCCCUUCCCUCGAUCUCAUCACAAUCCUUCCCGCAAUCUCAUCACGAUCUGUCCCGAUCUAGCACCGAACGGACGUCACCUCCGCGUUCAGCACACGUACGGCUUGAUGACAUCUCCUCCUUAUUGAUCCAGCAAGAGAGGAAGGAGAAGUAGAUGGGAUCUCAACCAGCACGACAACAUGGUGGAGAUGAUGGUGGAACAGUGGCAGGAGGGCUUCGCCAAGCGCUGCCCGAAUCGAUCUAAGGAGAAAACGGAGUUAUGGGAGAGGUAGGGCUGCCACCGGG
rnacentral:lncRNA from 1 species